UCAGAGAACUGAAGGGGGGGAAAACCCUGCCUCAGUAUGGGAGGGAGACUCCCUUCCCCAGCAUCUAAGGACUGCAGAGUCUCCAGAUUCCACUUUCCACUUCCUAGCGUGCACCAGCUCUGCUCUCUACUCAUUGGCUGCCAAGGGGAGACUCAUUUAGCACCUGGCCAGGAAGAAGCAGCUUGUAUCAUCCUGCAGGAAUCCCGCUACAUGAUGUAGAAAGAGAACUGGCCAGGAGCUCCCGAGAGAGCUGUGGCCUCCCAUCUUAGCUGGGAUAUAGCAUUCUGACGCUCCUGUGAAGAGGGGACUGGAAGGGAAAAUGGGGAGAUUGUUGGGGCUUGAAAGAAUCAUGGGAGGAACUAUUAUUUACUUUAUGACUGUAUUUUAUUUUUUCUAUAGCACUACACGCAUGACUCAUUACUGACAAACUAGUAAAAAAAGGCAGAUUCCUCCCCUGUGGCCUUGCAAGAUAAAGGCUAAAUUCUGCUUCACUUACACCAGCAUCAAUUAAAAGGAAUGCCGCUGAUUUCCAAGAAUAAUAGAAAUUGGCCUGAAGUUAGUAAGGUGUGACAGGAGGUAGAGGAUGUUAGGAAGCAUGAGGGUUAUGAUAAUAUAGACUUUUGUUUUGUAUGUCUUGUUGGUUCAUUGUGGAGUUUUAGAAGUAUGUAUAAUUAAUGUUUGAAUGUUUGUUUUAUAUUAAAAUAACAAAGGAACAAAU